rnacentral:rRNA from 1 species
GACGAACGCUGGCGGCGUGCCUAAUACAUGCAAGUCGAACGCUUCUUUCCUCCCGAGUGCUUGCACUCAAUUGGAAAGAGGAGUGGCGGACGGGUGAGUAACACGUGGGUAACCUACCCAUCAGAGGGGGAUAACACUUGGAAACAGGUGCUAAUACCGCAUAACAGUUUAUGCCGCAUGGCAUAAGAGUGAAAGGCGCUUUCGGGUGUCGUUGAUGGAUGGACCCGCGGUGCAUUAGCUAGUUGGUGAGGUAACGGCUCACCAAGGCCACGAUGCAUAGCCGACCUGAGAGGGUGAUCGGCCACACUGGGACUGAGACACGGCCCAGACUCCUACGGGAGGCAGCAGUAGGGAAUCUUCGGCAGUGGACGAAAGUCUGACCGAGCAACGCCGCGUGAGUGAAGAAGGUUUUCGGAUCGUAAAACGCUGUUGUUAGAGAAGAACAAGGACGUUAGUAACUGAACGUCCCCUGACGGUAUCUAACCAGAAAGCCACGGCUAACUACGU